GGGGCAGGCAGUGAGUAUCAGGACUCGCAGAUGGAGGGGCAGAGAUGGAGGUGGAGGGGCAGAGAUGGAGGUGGAGGGAGAGAUGGAGGUGGAGGGGCAGAGAUGGAGGUGGAGGGGCAGAGAUGGAGGUGGAGGGGCAGAGAUGAAAUAAUGGAACUGGAUGAGUGUCAUUGGAUAACUGCACAGUGCUGAAUCCAUUGAGCCCUUUAGGGUUAGGAUUAGGAUUAGGGUUAGGAUUAGGGUUAGGAUUGGGGUUAGGGUUAGGAUUGGGGUUAGGAUUAGGAUUAGGGUUAGCAUUAGCUGAACAAGGGG
ensembl:lncRNA